rnacentral:rRNA from 1 species
CGGUCCCUACGGGGCGCAGCAGUAGGGAAUCUUCCACAACGGACGAAAGUCUGAUGGAGCAACGCCGCGUGAGUGAAGAAGGGUUUCGGCUCGUAAAGCUCUGUUGGUAGUGAAGAAAGAUAGAGGGAGUAACUGGCCUUUAUUUGACGGUAAUUACUUAGAAAGUCACGGCUAACUACGUGCCAGCAGCCGCGGUAAUACGUAGGUGGCAAGCGGUGUCCGGAUUUUUUGGGCGUAAAGCGAG